rnacentral:lncRNA from 1 species
GAAUCAAUCAUGUUCAUUCAAAACUCAUAAAUGGGGAGGAAACAAACAGAGAAUACAAAGGCCGAAAAUGCCAGUUAAAGGAAUGAAAUGCCACAAACAGAGAAGAUUAAACUAAAACCAGUACAGUCUAGUAUAAUAGUCUUCCCCAUCACAAAAUCAAACCAAAAUACAAUACAAAGCCACUGUCUUCUGCAAAAGGGACGAAGACCGUACCAUAAUGGCCAUAAAAGAAGGGAUACACCACCACCACCACACAAGUCGGCAUUGCUACACAUAGA